GAUGGAAGAUGGCGAGAAAAGCUGUGUGUAUUUCUGAGGUGCCCGUACCGCAAACCGACACAGGUAGGUAGGAAGAAGAUUCUAAGGCCAACGGGAGAAGGGUUGUUAAGGAACUCGGCAAAUUGACCCCGUAACUUCGGGAGAAGGGGUGCUCCAGAGAUGGAGCCGCAGAGAAUCGGCCCAAGCAACUGUUUACCAAAAACACAGGUUUGUGCUAAAUCGAAAGAUGACGUAUACGAGCUGACGCCUGCCCGGUGCUGGAAGGUUAAGAGGAGAUGUGCAAGCAUUGAAUCGAAGCCCCAGUGAACGGCGGCCGUAACUAUAACGGUCCUAAGGUAGCGAAAUUCCUUGUCAGGUAAGUUCUGACCCGCAUGAAAGGCGUAAUGAUUUGGGCACUGUCUCAACAGCCCGCCCGGCGAAAUUGUAGUACCGGUGAAGAUGCCGGUUACCCGCGACAAGACGGAAAGACCCCAUGGAGCUUUACUGUAGCCUAAUAUUGGGUUUCGAUGUUGCAUGCACAGGAUAGAUGGGACUCUGGGAAACCAAGGCUUUGGCUUUGGCGGAGAGGCCGUUGGGAUACCAUCCUUGCGAUAUUGGAAUUCUAACCUGCGGCUCUGAAUCGAGUCGGGGGACAUUGUUAGGUGGGCAGUUUGACUGGGGCGGUCGCCUCCUAAAGAGUAACGGAGGCGUUCAAAGGUUCGCUCAGCUUGAACGGAAAUCAAGCAAAAGAGUGCAAACGCAGAAGCGAGCCUAACUGCGAGACUGACGGGUCGAGCAGUAACGAAAGUUGGAGUUAGUGAUCCGGUGGUAUGUGAGUGGAAAUGCCAUCGCUCAACGGAUAAAAGUUACCCUGGGGAUAACAGGCUGAUCUCCCCCAAGAGUCCACAUCGACGGGGAGGUUUGGCACCUCGAUGUCGGCUCAUCGCAUCCUGGGGCUGUAUUCGGUCCCAAGGGUUUGGCUGUUCGCCAAUUAAAGCGGUACGCGAGCUGGGUUCAGAACGUCGUGAGACAGUUCGGUCCCUAUCUGUCGUGGGCGCAGGAUAUUUGAUGGGAGCUGUCCCUAGUACGAGAGGACCGGGACGGACGUACCUCUGGCGCACCAGUUGUUCCGCCAGGAGCAUAGCUGGGCAACUACGUACGGAUCGGAUAAACGCUGAAAGCAUCUAAGCGUGAAGCCGACCCAAAGAUAAGAUAUCCCACUGAUUCAAUCAGGUAAGAUCCCUUGUAGACUACGAGGUUGAUAGGCACGAUGUGUAAGUGGAGUGAUCCAUUCAGCAAGAGUGUACUAAUAGAUCGAGGGCUUGACCAC
rnacentral:rRNA from 1 species